UACGGGGGGGGCAAGCGUUGUUCGGAAUUACUGGGCGUAAAGGGCUCGUAGGUGGCCAACUAAGUCAGACGUGAAAUCCCUCGGCUUAACCGGGGAACUGCGUCUGAUACUGGAUGGCUUGAGUUUGGGAGAGGGAUGCAGAAUUCCAGGUGUAGCGGUGAAAUGCGUAGAUAUCUGGAGGAAUACCGGUGGCGAAGGCGGCAUCCUGGACCGGCAUUGACGCUGAGGAGCGAAAGCUAGGGGAGCAAACGGG
rnacentral:rRNA from 1 species